UACGUAGGGUGCGAGCGUUAAUCGGAAUUACUGGGCGUAAAGCGUGCGCAGGCGGUGAUGUAAGACCGAUGUGAAAUCCCCGGGCUUAACCUGGGAAUUGCAUUUGUGACUGCACGGCUAGAGUGUGUCAGAGGGGGGUAGAAUUCCACGUGUAGCAGUGAAAUGCGUAGAGAUGUGGAGGAAUACCGAUGGCGAAGGCAGCCCCCUGGGAUAACACUGACGCUCAUGCACGAAAGCGUGGGGAGCAAACAGG
rnacentral:rRNA from 1 species